rnacentral:rRNA from 1 species
GACGAACGCUGGCGGCGUGCUUAACACAUGCAAGUCGAACGGAAAGGCCCUGCUUUUGUGGGGAGCUCGAGUGGCGAACGGGUGAGUAACACGUGAGUAACCUGCCCUUGACUUUGGGAUAACUUCAGGAAACUGGGGCUAAUACCGGAUAGGAGCUCCUGCUGCAUGGUGGGGGUUGGAAAGUUUCGGCGGUUGGGGAUGGACUCGCGGCUUAUCAGCUUGUUGGUGGGGUAGUGGCUUACCAAGGCUUUGACGUGUAGCCGGCCUGAGAGGGUGACCGGCCACAUUGGGACUGAGAUACGGCCCAGACUCCUACGGGAGGCAGCAGUGGGGAAUAUUGCACAAUGGGCGGAAGCCUGAUGCAGCAACGCCGCGUGCGGGAUGACGGCCUUCGGGUUGUAAACCGCUUUCGCCUGUGACGAAGCGUGAGUGACGGUAAUGGGUAAAGAAGCACCGGCUAACUACGUG